rnacentral:rRNA from 1 species
AGCUCCAAUAGCGUAUAUUAAAGUUGCUGCAGUUAAAAAGCUCGUAGUUGCAUUUCCGAGGCAAGGGAUUAGUCCGACCUUUGGUGGGUAUUUAAUCCUCUUGCCUCGUCCUUGAGUGGUGCUUCUUGGUAUUAAGUUAUCGAGGAGAUAGCCGCUCAUCGUUUACUGUGAGAAAAUUAGAGUGUUCAAAGCAGGCUUAUGCCGUUGAAUAUAUUAGCAUGGAAUAAUAAGAUAGGACCUCGGUACUAUUUGGUUGGUUUGAGAACCAAGGUAAUGAUGAAUAGGGACAGUUGGGGGUAUUCGUAUUCAGUGGUCAGAGGUGAAAUUCUUAGAUUUACGGAAGACGAACUACUGCGAAAGCAUUUACCAAGGAUGUUUUCA